rnacentral:rRNA from 1 species
UUAAGCAUAUCAAUAAGCGGAGGAAAAGAAACCAACAGGGAUUGCCCUAGUAACGGCGAGUGAAGCGGCAACAGCUCAAAUUUGAAAUCUGGCGCAAGCCCGAGUUGUAAUUUGUAGAGGAUGCUUCUGGGUAGCGACCGAUCUAAGUUCCUUGGAACAGGACGUCAUAGAGGGUGAGAAUCCCGUAUGUGACCGGCCCGCACCCUUUACGUAGCUCCUUCGACGAGUCGAGUUGUUUGGGAAUGCAGCUCUAAAUGGGAGGUAAAUUUCUUCUAAAGCUAAAUACCGGCCAGAGACCGAUAGCGCACAAGUAGAGUGAUCGAAAGAUGAAAAGUACUUUGGAAAGAGAGUUAAAAAGCACGUGAAAUUGUUGAAAGGGAAGCGCCUGCAACCAGACUUCGUGGCAGUGUUCCGCCGGUCUUCUGACCGGUUUAUUCUCUGUCGCGAGGCCAUCAUCGUCUAGGCCCGCCGGAUAAGACCUUAGGAAUGUAGCUCACCUUCGGGGGAGUGUUAUAGCCUAUGGUGAUGCGGCGAGGCUUGGGCGAGGUCCGCGCUUCGGCAAGGAUGAUGGCGUAAUGGUUGUCGGCGGCCCGUCUUGAAACACGGACCAAGGAGUCUAACAUCUAUGCGAGUGUUCGGGUGUCAAACCCCUACGCGUAAUGAAAGUGAACGGAGGUGGGAACCGCAAGGUGCACCAUCGACCGAUCCUGAUGUCCUCGGAUGGAUUUGAGUAAGAGCAUAGCUGUUGGGACCCGAAAGAUGGUGAACUAUGCCUGAAUAGGGUGAAGCCAGAGGAAACUCUGGUGGAGGCUCGCAGCGGUUCUGACGUGCAAAUCGAUCGUCAAAUUUGGGUAUAGGGGCGAAAGACUAAUCGAACCAUCUAGUAGCUGGUUCCUGCCGAAG